AAUCAACGCUGGCGGCGUGCCUAACACAUGCAAGUCGAACGCGAAAGCCCCGCAAGGGGUAAGUAGAGUGGCAAACGGGUGAGUAACACGUGGGUGACCUGCCUUCGAGUGGGGGAUAAC
rnacentral:rRNA from 1 species